rnacentral:rRNA from 1 species
GGUGAACGCUAGCGGCAGGCUUAAUACAUGCAAGUCGAGGGGUAGCAAGAUUGUAGCAAUACAAUUGUUGACGACCGGCAAACGGGUGCGGAACACGUACACAACCUUCCUACAAGUGGGGAAUAGCCCAGAGAAAUUUGGAUUAAUACCCCGUAACAUAGCGAUGUGGCAUCACAUUGCUAUUAUAGCUUCGGCGCUUGUUGAUGGGUGUGCGGCUGAUUAGAUAGUUGGCGGGGUAACGGCCCACCAAGUCUACGAUCAGUAGCUGAUGUGAGAGCAUGAUCAGCCACACGGGCACUGAGACACGGGCCCGACUCCUACGGGAGGCAGCAGUAAGGAAUAUUGGACAAUGGACGCAAGUCUGAUCCAGCCAUGCCGCGUGAAGGAUUAGGGUCCUCUGGAUUGUAAACUUCUUUUAUAAGGGACGAAAAAAGGUCUUUCUAGAUCGUCUGACGGUACCUUAUGAAUAAGCACCGGCUAACUCCGUGCCAGCAGCCGCCGUAA